UGACUUUGUAGGUCGUGGCUGUCGUGGUGUGGAGAGGAAUUAGCCCAAGACAAACAUGUCAGAAAUGCUAAAAGGCAUUACUGCUUUCACGUGUCGUAACAGCCCAUUCUUCUCUUCUCUGGAAGUCACGGAAUCCGAAAAGUUUGCAGCGAGGCAGAAAUUACUUACUUACUGUAUUUCUGAGGCCUGCUACGCAGUAGCCCUGGCUUCCUUAAAACUGAGCUGUCAAAAGCAAAGCCUGCGCCUGCUUUAAGUGGAAUUUAAAGGAUGUUUCCCACUGAUUACCAGUUAGCAUCCUUGUAGCUUGCCUGUGGGAGUCAUGCUCGAUGUGUUAAAUGUGCCCUGGCCAAGAGGUUCCCAGGUAGGCUGAGGAGUGUGAUCCCCUGAAGAUGGAGUGCACCAACCCAGUUUGCCAGCCCAAUGGUACUGUCCCACAGUGUUACAGAGGACAGCCCGACAACAUCCAGAGUCUUAAGGGAGAACUCUAAAUGGUGUCAGGACUCUCCCUAGAUACACAUGUUGAUGUGUAUUUCACCUCUAGUGUUGAUCUUGGAAGUCACUGGUGAUGAAACAUUCCCCAGGAUCAUCCCAGUUUCCUUCGACAUGUAUAUCUUUGUGUAUGUCAUCAUGUAGCUUUUACUAGGACAGCUUUGUACUACAGGAGCCGUCAGAACAAAGACUAUUA